rnacentral:misc_RNA from 1 species
CAAACACACCAUCUGAUAAUAGGAUGAUGCAUGUGCUGCAUGGGGAAUACAUGUGCUGUUGUGUAUUUAAGAGAGUGAUUGGAGAGGAGUGUUAAACAGAUGAUAUAUUUGCUUGAAGUGGAUGCAUGGGCUAUUAUGAGCCAAAGAUACUUACCUGUGUGGCACAGCUCGUACCAACAGGAAGGGCUACCCCGCCGUUCAUCUCCCUUCAGGUAAGGCAGCAAAUCGUCUGCAGAGAGGGACCAUCGACUGGCGAGCUUGUGGGGACUUCGUUGCAACCAUGUGGAAAGACAACAAGCCUCUUUUCUACCUCAGCACGGCACACUCUCCCGAGGAAGAUGGUUUGACCACCAAAAGGAGGAAGAAGGACGGGUCGCAGGAAAUCCUUCCCAACGCACCAUGUGUGAAGGAUUAUGGAAAGUAUAUGGGAGGGGUUGAUAGGUUAGACCAAAACACUCGCCAAAAUAAGGGCAAAAAACCCAUGAGGUGGUAUAGGCGUGUUGAGGUGAAGUUGAGAGAAAUAGCCAUUUACAAUGCCUAUGUCAUUGAAGGUACCUUCAUCAACCACAUGCCAGGUGGGAAAAGAAAGCGAGAUAUGCUGGCCUUCAAGCUUGGACUGCUGCAUCAACUCAUUGGAGGGUACCGUCAAGACAGGAGGCUAGGUCGUUCCAGAUCAGUCAUCGUUGGAACAGGAACGCUUGGAUGGGAACGGUCACUGGCCAGUGCCGUCAGGUAGUCUUGACACCCGGUGCUUGGUUUGUGUGAAGAUGCACAAUGUGUAUCGUGUGCAGCACCCAGGUGAAAACUGCAUCAUCAAAGGGAGAUAAUCCACCUUCAUCACACCUGCCAAUCAAGCUUCAGCUACCUGUGCCAUCUAGUGAUGGAAAACAUUUUAUUUGCACUUUCAGUGUAUGAUAUUUGACAAUAAAGUAAUUUUGCCCUUUUGUCAACUUUUGUCUUUUUUUCACUCGGUCCUGCUAACCAUGGCAAAUGAAAUGAUCUUUCAGGCGAGUUGCUGCUACAUAAUAUUGCCUCUUUAUUAUUCUAGAUUCCAAUAUAAUAUUCCUUUGCAUGAAAAGCAUUAAUAUUUCAACUAUUCAACUUGAAAAACUCAGAAAAUACCCUGUGAUAUAAUUUCAGGUGAAGAAAAGGGUCAUUUCAAAAGGGAGGUAAUCCACCGUCACCACACCUGCCAAUCAAGCUUUUUUUUUUUUUUUUUUAUACCUGUGACAUUUAGUGAUGGCA